rnacentral:sRNA from 1 species
CGGACUAAUGAAAUGAAUAUGCGUAUCAAGACCUCCGGCGGUCACGAUCAGUCCUUCUCCCGCAAUCACUUCUGUUCCGGCUCCAAUGAUAAGGUUCUCGUCAACUCCAUCCAUGAUCGCCGGAUUUCCUGCUUUUCCGAUUCCACAGAUCUUACCGUCUUUCAUUCCGAUAUCUGCUUUCACGAUUCCCCAGUAAUCCACGAUCACUGCAUUCGUGAUUACUGUAUCCGGGCACUUGUCAUCCGGAACUGUACAGGACUGUCCCAUACCAUCCCG